rnacentral:rRNA from 1 species
UGCAAGUCGAACGGAACGCCAAGGAAAGAGUUUUCGGACAAUGGAAUUGGUUGUUUAGUGGCGGACGGGUGAGUAACGCGUGAGUAACCUGCCUUGGAGUGGGGAAUAACACAGUGAAAACUGUGCUAAUACCGCAUGAUAUAUUGGUGUCGCAUGGCACUGAUAUCAAAGAUUUAUCGCUCUGAGAUGGACUCGCGUCUGAUUAGAUAGUUGGCGGGGUAACGGCCCACCAAGUCGACGAUCAGUAGCCGGACUGAGAGGUUGGCCGGCCACAUUGGGACUGAGACACGGCCCAGACUCCUACGGGAGGCAGCAGUGGGGAAUAUUGGGCAAUGGGCGCAAGCCUGACCCAGCAACGCCGCGUGAAGGAAGAAGGCUUUCGGGUUGUAAACUUCUUUUAACAGGGACGAAGUAAGUGACGGUACCUGUUGAAUAAGCCACGGCUAACUACG